rnacentral:rRNA from 1 species
GGGGGUACCUAAAGUACGUAACCGCAAGGAGCGUCCUAGGGUAAAACCGAUAACUGGGGCUAAGUCGUAACAAGGUAGCCGUACCGGAAGGUGCGGCUGGAAUACCUCCUUUCUGGAG